ACCACGCUCUUCCGAUCUGCAUCAACUACCUUUAUCAAAGGAAACAUGACAGAAACAUCCAACGUUAAUUUUGACCAUCAGAAUGCCAUAAAGGAGAUAGAAACAGUGGAGUGCUACA